rnacentral:rRNA from 1 species
UACGGAGGGGGCUAGCGUUGUUCGGAAUUACUGGGCGUAAAGGGCGCGUAGGCGGCGCGAUAAGUUGGGCGUGAAAGGCCCGGGCUCAACCCGGGGACUGCGCUUGAUACUGUCGCGCUGUGAGUCCGGGAGAGGAUGGCGGAAUUCCCAGUGUAGAGGUGAAAUUCGUAGAUAUUGGGAAGAACACCGGUGGCGAAGGCGGCCCACUGGAUCGGUACUGACGCUGAGGUGCGAAAGCGUGGGGAGCAAACAGG